rnacentral:piRNA from 1 species
GACACUCACAUGGUACACAAACAGAGAUGCA